GGGGCUUGGCUCAGUGGUAGAGUGUCCGCUUGACGUGGAGAAGAUUCCUGGUUCAAUCCUUGGCAUCUCCA
rnacentral:tRNA from 1 species